rnacentral:rRNA from 1 species
UACAGAGGGUGCGAGCGUUAAUCGGAAUUACUGGGCGUAAAGCGCGCGUAGGCGGCUUUGCAAGCCGGAUGUGAAAGCCCCGAGCUUAACUUGGGAAUUGCGCUUGUGACUGGCGUGCUGGAGUGUGGCAGAGGGAGGUGGAAUUCCACGUGUAGCAGUGAAAUGCGUAGAGAUGUGGAGGAACACCGAUGGCGAAGGCAGCCUCCUGGGCCAGCACUGACGCUCAUGCACGAAAGCGUGGGGAGCAAACAGG